rnacentral:RNase_P_RNA from 1 species
GGAGUCGUCCAGGCGAUCGCUGAAUUAUUUUUGUAAUUCAGAGGAAAGUCCGAACACCAUAGGGCAGGGUGCUCCAUAACGUGGAGUCGCGGUGACGUGAAGGAAAGUGCAACAGAAAGCAUACCGCCAGGCUGUCAAAUCAUAAAAUCUAACUGCCUGGUAAGGGUGAAAAGGUGCGGUAAGAGCGCACCAGUUUCCCGGGUGACCGGGGAAGCUCGGUAAACCCCAUCCGGUGCAAGACCAAAUAGAGGAGUGCUUGAGGAUUGCCCGUCCAAGCUCCCGGGUAGGUCGCAUGAGGUGUUGGGCAACCAACAUCCAUAGAUGAAUGAUCGCCGCCUUACUUAAGGG